UAAACCUCUUUUAUCAAGGAAGAAGAUCUGACGGUACUUGAUGAAUAAGCCACGGCUAAUUCCGUGCCAGCAGCCGCGGUAAUACGGGAGUGGCAAGCGUUAUCCGGAAUUAUUGGGCGUAAAGCGUCCGCAGGCGGUCUUGUAAGUCUGUCGUUAAAGCGUGGAGCUCAACUCCAUUUCGGCGGUGGAAACUACAAGACUAGAGUGUGGUAGGGGCAGAGGGAAUUCCCGGUGUAGCGGUGAAAUGCGUAGAUAUCGGGAAGAACACCAGUGGCGAAGGCGCUCUGCUGGGCCAUAACUGACGCUCAUGGACGAAAGCUAGGGGAGCGAAAGGGAUUAGAUACCCCUGUAGUCCUGGCCGUAAACGAUGAACACUAGGUGUCGGGGGAAUCGACCCCCUCGGUGUCGUAGCCAACGCGUUAAGUGUUCCGCCUGGGGAGUACGCACGCAAGUGUGAAACUCAAAUGAAUUGACGG
rnacentral:rRNA from 1 species